AAACAUUGCUUAUAGAAUUAAUUAUAAGUAAAACCUGCUCAAUGAUAAUUUCAAUAGCCGCAAUUUCUGUGCUAAGGUAGCAUAAUCAUUUGUUUUUUAAUUCAAAACUAGAAUGAAAGGUUAAACAUUUAAAUUUCUAUAACUUUAAUUUUUCAUAAAAUUAUAUUAAAUAUAAAAAUAUAUUUAUAAAAAAAUUAGACGACAAGACCCUAUUGAACUUUACUUCUGUUAAGCUGGGGAAGCUUAUAAAUUAAAAUUUUCAUAAUCUUUCAAUAAAUUUCCCAAUCUAAUUGAUUUUUAAUCAAGUUACCAUAGGGAUAACAGCGUAAUUUUUAUUUAAAGUUCUUAUUAAAAUAAAAGUUUGCGACCUCGAUGUUGAAUUAUAUUUCCUUUAUUUCGCAACAGAAAUAUUAGUAGGUCUGUUCGACCUUUAAAAAUUUACAUGA
rnacentral:rRNA from 1 species